UACGAGAGGUCCAAACGUUAUUCGGAAUUACUGGGCUUACAGAGGUCGUAGGCGGCGCGAAAAGUGGGGUGUGAAAUCCCUCGGCUCAACCGAGGAAUUGCGCUCCAAACUGUCGUGCUAGAGGAAGAUAGAGGUGAGCGGAACUGAUGGUGGAGCGGUGAAAUGCGUUGAUAUCAUCAGGAACACCGGAGGCGAAGGCGGCUCACUGGGUCUUUUCUGACGCUGAGGAACGAAAGCUAGGGGAGCAAACGGG
rnacentral:rRNA from 1 species